rnacentral:rRNA from 1 species
UACAGGGGGGGCAAGCGUUGUUCGGAAUUACUGGGCGUAAAGGGCUCGUAGGCGGCCAACUAAGUCCGACGUGAAAUCCCAAGGCUUAACUUUGGAACUGCGUCGGAUACUGGAUGGCUUGAAUUCGGGAGAGGGAUGCAGAAUUCCAGGUGUAGCGGUGAAAUGCGUAGAUAUCUGGAGGAAUACCGGUGGCGAAGGCGGCAUCCUGGACCGACAUUGACGCUGAUGAGCGAAAGCUAGGGGAGCAAACGGG